rnacentral:tRNA from 1 species
CGGGACGUAGCGUAGCUUGGUAGCGCGUCUGAAUGGGGUUCAGAAGGUCGUGAGUUCAAAUCUCACCGUCCCGA